GCGGGCACAGUUGGAGCGCAGAUCCCUGAUUCGGAGGCCGCAGUGAGCGUGGCUCCACGCUCACAGGCGCGGAACCGGAUCGUACGGAUCAGAAGGUUUGGGGUUCGAAUCCCUACAGGCGCG
rnacentral:tRNA from 1 species